GUCGCUGUAGCCUAGUUGGUAAAGGCGUCGCGAGUACAGAUGGCCAAGGUCGCUGGUUCAAAUCCAGCCUGCGGUA